UGCAUGGUAGUGGUAGUGUCCACUACGAAAAGUUUUCUCCCAUACUUGUUUCGUAGGUGACCGUUUCGUAGGGGACUUAUUCCAAUGUUUUAUUUUCCCACAUUAAUCCUCAUGAUGCAAUAGUAACAAGACUGAUUGUAUUCAUCAAAGCAUGUAUUAAGCUGUACACAGACAUUUUUUUCAUAAUAUUAAAACCAGAUACUGAAGGAGAUUUGACCCGUUUCGCAGUGGACAUUAACAAAAAUACGGUAUCACUCUGGUCCAUUUGAUGUGCUCAAUUUUUCUUACCAACAAUUUAACUGCCGUUAUAAAAUUACAUUGAUUUUAUAAAACUGUUUACUAGCAAAUUUUAAUGACUUCGUUUCGUAGUGGACAUUUUGUCAGGGACACACCUUCUGAAAUUAAAAAUCCUAUUUUAAAAGCUGUUUAUUAAAAUAUGUUGGCUCUAAACAUACUCUUGAAUUAUUAAAGGG
rnacentral:lncRNA from 1 species